UACAGAGGUCCCGAGCGUUGUUCGGAUUCACUGGGCGUAAAGGGUGCGUAGGUGGUGAGGUAAGUCGGAUGUGAAAUCUCGGAGCUUAACUCCGAAACUGCAUUGGAAACUACCUCGCUAGAGGGUUGGAGGGGGGACUGGAAUGCUUGGUGUAGCAGUGAAAUGCGUAGAUAUCAAGCGGAACACCAGUGGCGAAGGCGAGUCCCUGGACAACUCCUGACACUGAGGCACGAAAGCUAGGGGAGCAAACAGG
rnacentral:rRNA from 1 species